AUGACAAGUUUCCAGAGAUUGUCUGUCAGGCUUCAAGAGUGUUUUAGAAGGGCUUCAGAGGAGUCUUAAGAGUACUGUGAAGCUGGUGCAAAGAUAGGGUCAAGUCUAAGAGGGACUUAGACGUCAUUUGGCGAUAGUUGGGUGAUGGUGCAGAAAUAGGGCGAUCCGAGCCAAUCAGAUGGUACAAACGGUGCAAAUGGACCCUACAAACUUAGGGCGGCCAAAACCGAGCCAGGUUCGACCUUUGGAGAUGUUUGGACGAGGUGUGCACAAAUAAGAUGAGGUACAAACAGGCGGUCCAUACCAUCGACUGUACUUGUUCCAGAUCAAUCUGAAACGAAGAAGUGCAAAGAUAGGAUGCCGGUUCAGCAAAAAGAGAGGUGACCUGAUCUGUUUGAGCUUGAGGACGUUUGUGGAUAAUUCCACGCUGUCAUGAGCUGGCGUGAGCUGUAAAGGAGAAGGAGCAUGGACCAUGUAUAUGGUCUGUUACAUGGGAAGGUUCAUGGGAGCCUAUGAGCAGCCAAUCAGAAGCCAGCUCUUGGCCUUGACCAGAAUUGAAUCAACCAACCAGGCACCAUCAUCUCUCAUCCAAUCACAAGACAUCACACAAAUUCCAAACUCAACACUCCAUCCUAGCUAUCCAUCCCUUCAAGUAAUUUAUCAGCCAUUAGAUUAAGGGUUUUAUGAUUCACAAACUUGUAAGCUUAUAAAUAAGCAUGUAUAGACAUUUUGUAACUCUCUUGAGAGAGAGAAGGAGAUUUCUCCUCCUUCUUCGUAAUACAAAGUAUGUUUUUGGAUAAGAAUCCUUUACUCUCUCUUUCUCAUACUUAAAUCUCUUAAUCUCUUUAAAUCUCUUGUUUCUGUCCAAGUUCAUACUAUUCUUCAUCAGUCCUUCUCUCAUAUCAGUUCAAGACCAUUUCGCCUAAAGGGUCAUGACCCCGUUUGCUUCCAUCGUUUAGCUAUGUAAGCUAAUGAGAAAAACAUAAAAAGUAGACUUUUCUAACAACAGAUCUCUUGAGUACUUGCGUGUGUAUAUUCUCUUUGGCUUUGAAGAAGGACCUUAGCAAUUUGGUAUCAGAGCCACUUGUGGAUCCAAGGAGGGUGGAUUUAGGAUUCCGGUGAUCCAAUCCACUCCGGUUGAAUGGAACGAACAGGGUGGGCGAACAAUGUGACGGGAAAGUUUCGAAUACAAUGAAUAAAAUAGCAAAGUGUAAAAGUGUAUUAUAAGACCACGGUUAAACUUUAUUUAUAGGUCGAAAUCCUUUAACGUCGUCAUUUACACCACCGAAAAAUAUAUGCAGCUUUAUAAAAAUAUCUCUAAAUCAUGAUUGGAAUG